AAGGAGCACUUCUCCACGAUGCGUCACACAGGUGAUUGUGGUCGUGGCAGAGGCCAUGUCGGACUCGAAUGUAGUCCGGUGGUUGCUCAUGGGUGGAACGCUGGCAUGUGCCUCGUGUAUCGGUUGGUCCUGUGUGGCCGGCCGGCGGGGAUGUAGUCGACACACUGUUGGGUCCUGAGAGAACACGCGAGUGACUCUCUAGGUAUGAGAUAACGACGAGGCUGGAUCUUCAGUCAUACCGCGGGGCUUUCUUCGGAGGGUUUCGGUCUGGUGCUGAGUCAGGGUUUGGUCUUGUGUGUUGUUUGAGAACUGCACAGUGGACGCGAGCAUCUUUGUUU
rnacentral:misc_RNA from 1 species